rnacentral:rRNA from 1 species
AACGAACGCUGGCGGCAUGCCUAACACAUGCAAGUCGAACGAGACCUCCGGGUCUAGUGGCGCACGGGUGCGUGCCGAGGGGGAACCUGCACUUAGGUUCGGAAUAACUCACCGAAGGGGGUGCUAAUGCCGGAUGAGGUAAUCCGACAUAAGAGUUAUCGCCUUUGGGUGGGGCCGUGUUGGAUUAGUUAGUUGGUAGGGUACAAGCAUACCAUGGCGACGAUGCAUGGCUGGUCGGGGAGGAUGACAAGCCACACUGGGACUGAGACACGGCCCACACUGCUACGGAAGGGAGCGGUGGGUAAUAUUAGAGGAUGAGCGCAAGCCUGACCCAGCAGUGCCGGGUGAGUGAUGAAGGGCUUAGGGUUGUAAAGCUCUUUUAGCCGAGAUGAGAAUGACAGUACCGGGAGAAUAAGCUCCGGCUAACUCCGUG